AUUUGACCUAUGGUGGUGGCCUUCAGGAAGCCCUCUGCAAUCAUAAAGUGCAGCGUUGGGACAACUCCACUGAGGCCCAGACCUACAAACACACCUGAGACACAGAAGACAAGACAGGAAGGUCAUACAGGUUUGGAAUGACAUGAGGGUGAGUAAUUAAUGAUCAUUUGAACUCCCGUUAAACACUAAAGUGGACAGAGCUAGACAGUGUCUUACCAGCCCUGACUCCACGAUACUGUGGCGUGGCGAAGAAGUCACACUGUGAGACGGUGAUGGCAGCGACCCCCAGGAUACACACCAC